rnacentral:rRNA from 1 species
UGGGGAAUAUUGGGCAAUGGCCGAAAGGCUGACCCAGCGACGCCGCGUGGGGGAUGAAGCCCUUCGGGGUGGAAACCCCUUUUCUGGGGGAAGAUAAUGACUGUACCCCAGGAAUAAGGGACGGCUAACUACGUGCCAGCAGCCGCGGUAAUACGUAGGUCCCGCACGUUGCGCGAAAAUACUGGGCGUAAAGGGUUCGUAGGCGGUCUGGGAAGAGGGAGGUGAAAUCCUACGGCUCAACCCGAGAGU